GCAGUGUGCACCGACAUGUGUUAACUAACCAUCACUGGACCGAUAGAUAUCUUCACUGAAACACAGCCUCCUCCGUAACUGUGACCGCGAGGGAACGCCAACCAGAGCUGCAGUAGGAGUGGUCGAGGACGCUGCAGGGCACCCUACUGACAACGUCAAUACCACACCGGGGACCUUCUGACGGAGAACCAUUCACUGACAGUAAAGCUUCAAGUACACACACGUUCUGAUCGUGUCUCGUUCACCAGAGUUUUUCUACAGAUCUGAAUCUUCAAGCUAAACAUGCUCUAUAACUGGAACGUCAAAUCGAAAUGGAAAAUUACACCUGGUCUUGAAGAUCUUCACUGGAAUUGACUUUUGUUUGUGAAAACUAUUACAUGUCGAUUAGAUCGAAGCAUUUGCAACGGAUCGGUCUAAAACACCACCCAAGUCUUUUCCGAUUUAGAUCCAGAAUGUUUAAAUUUUUUUACCUGUUUUAAUUCACACUGGAUUCGUCGGAGUCGUACAACACCGGAAUUGAAAGGAAGUGAGUGCGUGAUUUUAACUCAUUGAUUUGGGGAAUCGCCCGUACAUUUUUAUUUUACAGAAUAUAUGUGUAUACGGCUGGUAAAACACAUAUCGACAGAUGUUGUGAUCCCAAGACCAGUUCAUGUGUGACGUACAGGACGUCGGUUCAACUGUUAGGAAAUAACACAACGGGAUAUUGUUGACGGAGUCUGGGCCAGAAGGACUUAACAGUGAAAGGGACUGUCACGCAAACAACAAUGAACAACACUACGGAUGACUACCACUACGACUAUUUGUCGUCGGUGGAGACGGUGCCGUUGGCCGAGUUGAUACCGGUAGCCACGUUGUACAGUCUCAUGUUGAUGUGCGGCAUGCUCGGCAACGUGCUCGUCAUCUUCUCCAUCCUACGUUAUCGAUGCAUGCGCAACAUCACCAACACAUUUCUUUUGAGCCUGGCGUCAGCUGACCUCUUGUUGGUGGUCAUUUGCAUACCCGUAAAGUUAGCAGCCUUUUUCUCCUUCACCUGGACCUUCGGAGAGUUUCUGUGCAAGAGUGUCCACUAUCUUCAGAAUGUGUCUGCCAUCUGUUCCGUAUUUACCCUGACAGCCAUGAGUCUGGAGAGAUAUUACGCCAUCAUGUUCCCGAUGAGAGCCAAAUAUACGUGUACCGUUGGCAAGGCGUGUCGUGUCAUAGCUGUGCUAUGGCUGUUGUCGGGUCUCCUUGCAGUACCCAUUGUUUUCCAAAGAAUCCACAAGGAGGUCGGGGUGUACAGGAAGGGGUAUUGGUGCGUGAAGGACUGGGACCAGACGCUCUACAGCAGUCUAUACGAACUGUUCAUGCUGGGCAUUAUGCUUGUGUUCCCUGUUGCCAUCAUGACAUUCGCUUAUGUCAGCAUCUGUCUGGAGCUGUGGAUAAUGACCACCAGGAGGUCGGCCAUGAGGAGCGGCUUAGUUCUAGCUACAGGAACGUUCCGGUCACCGCCUUCAACUGAAAGCAGCCCCUACCACGUCACGUCAGAAAAGACCCCAGUGAUGAAGAAGCAGAAGUUCUCCACUGAUGAUGAUGCCACAAGGAAACAGGUCAUUAAGAUGCUAGUAGCAGUCAUCCUCAUCUUCGUGGUCUGCUGGGCCCCCAUUCUCAUCAGCAACGUCUUGACAGCGUUUCGGGUCAUACACCAUCUCAACUACGGCUACCUGAAGCCGAUGAGGCAGACUUUCUACCUUCUUGCUUACGCCAACAGUGUUAUGAAUCCCUUUAUCUACGGUUUCAUGUCGAAGCACUUCAGAGAUACGUUCUACCAGUCCUUGUGUAUGUGCGUCAAGGGGAGGGAGUUUCAAAGGAGGAGUCGUUUUCUACGACAGAAUUCCCAAAUGACAAGAUCGUCACACGCAGCUUACUGUGCCCAAGACAGUGUCCAGAUGUCGUCACUGGAGUCGCCUUAUGGAGCUUGUAGACCGGAAUUUGUAUGAGCGUUGUCAAAGGAUUGCUUCAGACGUGUGAUGUGGUCAUAAACUGGACAUAGAUAACAGAAGCGCAACGCUUUGAUCUUUGGGAAUCAUUUGCAGUAUGGUUCAUGAUGAAUGAGACAUUGUUCUUGAAGCAGGCGACAAGUCAACUUGAUCAGAGAGACACUUGACCUAUUGCAUCAAUACAGUGUUCAGUAUUCCCAAAGAGACUACGAAUCGGGGAAGUUUAAUGGUCCAAGGACCAAUGUUUCGUGAAGCAGCGGUUUUGCGGAAUGGUAUCGCAUGUCGUUGGCAUGGAAAAUAUCCCAAUGUAUCACCGAUGCAGCAGGGACAACCCAAAGAACAGUUUCCAGAACAAUUUACAGAGCAUUGUACAGAAAGGUUUACUGAACAGUUUACAGAACGAUUAAUAGAAGGGUUUACUGAACAGUUUACUUAGCAGAGCACAGUUUACUUAACAGUUCACUGAAUAGUUCACAGAGGGGUCUACUGAACGGUGUACUGGGCGGUGUACUGAACAGGAAACAGGAGGGUUUGCGGAACAGUUUACUGUACAGUUUACAGAUGAGUUUACUGAACGGUUCACAGUUGAGUUUACUGAACGGUGUGCUGAACAGUUAACAGAUGAGUUUACUGAACGGUGUACUGAACAGUUUACAGAUGAGUUUACUGAACGGUGUACUGAAAAGUUUACUGAACAGGACACAGAAGGGUUUGCGGAACAGUUUACUGUACAGUUUACAGAUGAGUUUACUGAACGGUGUGCUGAACGGUUUACCGAACAGGUUAGAGAAGAUUUUACAGAACAAUUUGCUUAACAGUUUACAUAUGGGUUUACUGAACAGUUUAAAGAAGUGUUUGCUGAACAGUUUAAAGAAUACAUGACCAAACAGUUUUGUUCUUAAUGUAUAAAAGAUGUCCGAUGCAUGAAUACGUUUUGAUGCUGUUGCAGAUGUUGUAAUGUGCCACUUUGUUUAUACAUUUCUUGCUCAAUAUAACAUAGACGCUCUCGCCAGGAGAUAUGUACCUUCUUGUUAGUAUAGAGAUCAGCUUGGAGGUACCAGGGUGUGAUAAGCUUUUAGGUACCAGGAUGUGAUAAGCUUGGAGGUACCAGGGUGUGAUAAGCUUGUAGGUACCAGGGUGUGAUAAGCUUUGAGGUACCAGGGUGUGAUAAGCUUGGAGGUACCAGGAUGUGAUAAGCUUGGAGGUACCAGGAUGUGAUAAACAUGAAAACCUGAGACAAAUGUUACUACUUCAGCAUUAUAAAGUUCCAUCUUCAUGAA
rnacentral:misc_RNA from 1 species